rnacentral:rRNA from 1 species
UGGCUCAGGACGAACGCUGGCGGCGUGCCUAAUACAUGCAAGUCGAGCGCGGGAAGCGAGCUGAUCCCUUCGGGGUGACGCUCGUGGAACGAGCGGCGGACGGGUGAGUAACACGUGGGCAACCUGCCUGUAAGAUCGGGAUAACUCCGGGAAACCGGGGCUAAUACCGGGUAAUACUUUCUUUCGCAUGAAGGAAAGUUGAAAGAUGGCUUCUCGCUAUCACUUACAGAUGGGCCCGCGGCGCAUUAGCUAGUUGGUGAGGUAACGGCUCACCAAGGCGACGAUGCGUAGCCGACCUGAGAGGGUGAUCGGCCACACUGGGACUGAGACACGGCCCAGACUCCUACGGGAGGCAGCAGUAGGGAAUCUUCCGCAAUGGACGAAAGUCUGACGGAGCAACGCCGCGUGAACGAUGAAGGUCUUCGGAUCGUAAAGUUCUGUUGUUAGGGAAGAACAAGUACCGUGCGAAUAGAGCGGU